AUGGGGAGAGAGACGUCGACGCAUUUAUUUUUCACUUGUCCUGUGGCCAGGGUAAUCUGGAGGACGGUGGGGUGCGUUCUUGGCACAGACAAGUGCCCGAACCAUAUAUGGCAAUACUUCUCUUGGUGCUAUGUCUUCCUCCCAGAUGGGGAAAAAAAUUAUACAUUUGGGCUUGUGGCCAUCUGCUGGGCAAUUUGGAACUGUCGCAAUCAGGCUACCUUCGAGGGGAAAAAGUUACAGACUCCUUUCGCAGCAAUUUACUCUGCAUGUGGUUUCAUGUCUUAUGUGGCAGGUAUGAUGACUGGAGAAGAUCGGGAGGCGAUGGAGAGGGGGGCCAAGAUGCUCAGGGCCAACGCAUCAAACAUGAUGAGGAUCUGUGUGGCCUCAGGCGAGAGGGCAUAG
rnacentral:rRNA from 1 species